AUGUGGUGGGGUAAGGUGGGAGCAGGGGUAAAGGAGAGGGCUCUGUUCUUGGAGGGAGUGGAAAUUGGGGACCCAAGCUUACUGGCGAUGCGGUCCUCACGUGACCAGGAGCUGACGUGGGCAAAGGUACUUAAAGCCCUGACCGCCGUCCUCCGUCCUCCUCUGGGUACCAACUCUAUUGCGCUGCGCACUGCCGUGCGUUUAACCCAGGCGAGGAGGAGGAGGAGAAAAUUCCCCCAGAUCGGGCAGGCCCCGCACCCCACAUCCCGUCCUGUUUUGAGAAGAGGAGGGAAGAGAAAUAAACGUGGCAGCGCACAUAAGGCUGCUUUCCAGACACCUCCGACCCACACAACCCUUCACCCCCGUUUUUUCCGUCCUGGGAAAGGAGUUCGGGCUCUCAGUCUCCAACGUCUGCUGUCUAUAUUCCUGCCCUUCAGUCUGUCCUUAGGAUGGAGCCCUAACUGAACUGAAGGAAGGAGAGAAAUCCCUGAAUCCUUGGAGGUCUGUCUGCCUUUUGGGCCGUGUACGACUACAGGCCUGGU
rnacentral:lncRNA from 1 species